rnacentral:rRNA from 1 species
AGUGAACGCUGGCGGUAGGCCUAACACAUGCAAGUCGAACGGCAGCACAGUAAGAGCUUGCUCUUACGGGUGGCGAGUGGCGGACGGGUGAGGAAUACAUCGGAAUCUACUUUUUCGUGGGGGAUAACGUAGGGAAACUUACGCUAAUACCGCGUACGACCUACGGGUGAAAGCAGGGGAUCUUCGGACCUUGCGCGAUUGAAUGAGCCGAUGUCGGAUUAGCUAGUUGGCGGGGUAAAGGCCCACCAAGGCGACGAUCCGUAGCUGGUCUGAGAGGAUGAUCAGCCACACUGGAACUGAGACACGGUCCAGACUCCUACGGGAGGCAGCAGUGGGGAAUAUUGGACAAUGGGCGCAAGCCUGAUCCAGCCAUACCGCGUGGGUGAAGAAGGCCUUCGGGUUGUAAAGCCCUUUUGUUGGGAAAGUAAAGCAGCAGGUUAAUACCCCGCUGUUCUGACGGUACCCAAAGAAUAAGCACCGGCUAACUUCGUG